GACCGCGUAGCUCAGUUGGCAGAGCAUUGUGCUAGUAUUCCACUUAUUCCAAAGGUCGUAGGUUCGGAUCCCACCGUGGUCA